UCCAAAUUGUGAGGCUAGAAGAGCCAUGACCGACAGCUUCUACCGAGAGAAAAGGCAAGGCUUUUGUCUUUCUCUUCCUUCCAGCAAAGCUUUCUGGGGCUCCCCUCUUUAGCCUGGUCUGCUGUUCAAACCACCCAGAGAAGAAAGAUGAAUGUCCAGUCAGCUUCCUGGGGCUCAGCUCAGAGAUGUACAUCCCUGUACCACUAUUCCUCAUUCAUCCAGGAGCAAAAUCCCCUCUUCUCCUGCAAAUGUAACUGCUGUUAAGAAGCUGCACUUGGUAGUGGAGUUCUAUAUACUUCAGGGCGUUUGCUUUUGUUUGUGCAACACCACAGGUAGGAAGGUACCUGUGAAACCCAUGGAGUUCUCCUCUUGCCUCCCAGCUAGUCAGGGCUGUUGGGUACUUUCUGGGGUAGAAAUUCCCUAGCUUCCCUUGGUGACCCUCCUGGUGCUCAACAGGAUGCAGAAUGUGAGGGAAAAAGAGCGAGCACCAACAGGACCCUGGUUUAUGCCUAUUACUCAGGGCCAGGAUGGAAGCAAGCAUGAGAGCCCCUGGGUCCAUUUGGGCUGCUGAGAAAGCCCCUCUCGUGUGACGUGCGUCCCCCACCAAGGAAGCAUCCAAGUCCACCCUGGGUGUGUAUCUACCCAAGCAGCUCCUUAGGGUACACAGCUGAAUUCUACUGCUGACUUUGGCACUUGCUCCUGGUAUCUGAGAAGAACAGAUUCAAUUAAAAAGGAAAUAACAGAUGCUGCAAAUCACUCCCUCAUUUUCAGAGAAGUUUUUUCCCCCUAGUGCCCUGAAUUACUUGAUGAUGAACAGCAAUGCAGUAAAAAAAAAAAAAAAAAUGCAGCUGGCAUGACAACUUCCAACUUGGCUUCAAACCAAGGGGAAGCUGCGGGCUGUCCUUUCUAGAUGGUCUUUAUGCCCGGCACAUUCCUUUCUUUGGUAUGGGUAUUAUUGUGUAGAGAACUUGGCUGGAAGUAAAGGGAUAGAAAAAAAUGAACCCUGGGGUUCUUUUAGCCUUAAGAUUCUUUGCUAUUACUCACUCUUCCUCACAGUAUCUUUGUGAGGGGUGUAUGUAGUCAGUGGGACAUUGAAGGCAGGAUUAGUAUUCCCAUUUUAGAGAUGGAAAUGCAAAGGCCCAAGGACAGCAGGUUAUUUGCAAACUCCAGUAAAGGAAAUUGGUUCUAUCAGAAAACCUUGAUUCUUUUUCCACAUGCACCUGUGCCCGUUACACAGGAUAAUCUCUUCCAGAACUCUAGGAGAAAAGGCUAGGUGGGGACUCAAAUUCCUCCCUUGCAAAAGCCUUAGAUUAGAUAAUUCCACCCAGGAUGUCAGGAAUGCUUGAUGACUUGGAGCAUUUCUGCUGAUUGUAGGCCUAUACCCAGAAAGAGUUAACCAGCAGCUGCUGGGUUUAUUUUCAUUCUCUUUAAUAAGGGAAUCAAAGCAGCAGGACACAAACACACUGAAUCUCUAAUCACUCCAACACCCAC
rnacentral:lncRNA from 1 species